rnacentral:misc_RNA from 1 species
AGCAGCCGCGGUAAUUCCAGCUCCAAUAGCGUAUAUUAAAGUUGUUGCAGUUAAAAAGCUCGUAGUUGAAUUUCGGAAUCAAUGGAUCGGUCAUGCCACUCGGUGUGUACUGGUUUGAUUGGUUCUCACCUUCUAAGGAACCGUGAUGUCAUUAAUUUGGUGUCGCGGGGAAUUAGGACUGUUACCUUGAAAAAAUUAGAGUGUUUAAAGCAAGCUCACGCUUGAAUACAUUAGCAUGGAAUAAUGAAAUAGGACAUUGUAUUCUAUUUUGUUGGUUUCUAGGAUCGAUGUAAUGAUUAAUAGGGAUAGUUGGGGGCAUUAGUAUUCAAUUGUCAGAGGUGAAAUUCUUGGAUUUAUUGAAGACUAACUACUGCGAAAGCAUUUGCCAAGGAUGUUUUCAUUAAUCAAGAACGAAAGUUAGGGAUCGAAGACGAUCAGAUACCGUCGUAGUCUUAACCAUAAACUAUGCCGACUAGGGAUCGGAUGAUGUUAAUUUUUUAAUGACUCAUUCGGCACCUUA